UGUACCUCCCGCACUCUAUAAAUAUCUCUCUCUUUCUCUCAGUCAACCCCUGAGCAGUAAGGCUGAAAGACCCUCGUACUGCUCCCACCCUUGGGCCUGUGAAAGGCAGCCUCAGCUUUUAUUUUUUAAUUUGAAAAUAUAAAAAUAACAAAGAGCUCAGGCGUAUUCAAAUGUCAAAGUCUCGCACUCGGAGAGUCUGGAAAAAUCGAUUGCCAUAUCAGACAUAAGCGAGAAAGUAUCUGUUAAGAGUUAUCCUUCUAAAAACUUCUAACAAAUAUUCAGAGAAAUAAAUUCAUUGUAAACCAAAAUGCCUACAAAUUGUAACCCCAACUCCCUUAAAUACAUAUAUCACACCUUAAAUGGGUCAAGGUUAAGGUCAUGGAGUGCAUUGCCACUCUGAGAACUUACAAAAUCCAUUUUCACCUUGGAUCAAUUGAACAAAAAAGAUAACCCGGAACUCAACCACCAUUAGCUGAUCCACCGUACUGCCCGUUUGCCCAUUGAGGAAGGUUCCGAAGAAGCCUUUCCCACGUCCACCCUCUGGCAGAGCAGUAGUAAACCCAAGACAUCAUCUCAUAAUCCAAAGCCAAAUACAGUCCUGUCCCCCUCUUGAGCGGACUGCCGUGAGAAUGUGAGAGAGAACAGGCACCUGCCUGCCCGUGCAAUAUGAAUAUGGUAAAUACCUUCCCGUUGUGAUGGAUAAAUCGGUAAUCACACAUUCUUAGGCCGCAUCAACGUCGGACGGAACUUCAUCGGGGGGCCCACAGUUUUGAUCCAGGGGGCUUACGACGCUGAACCACUGGACUAAGGCAGUCCAAUAUUUCUCACGUUCCGUUCCGUUCCGUUCGAUUCAUGCAGCGACAGAUCGGACAUAUGGCAUGGGGAAUACGCAUCAGGAGGGAUAUGGAUCGGUGGGGGCGAGGCGAUAGACGCGACGGACAACGAGCGACGCCCGACGCCCGACGCCCGACGCCCGACCAUGUCUACGGUUAGAUAUAGUCAGCCAGUCGACUCCUACUCCCAUUCCGACUGCCACUGCCACUCCCACACUCCCAGAGUGCGAGUACGAGUGCGGCUGCUGUCUUUCGGCUGCCAUAAAUCAUAAGCAAACAUUUUGAUAUUGUAAUCCCCAUUUUAAUCCGUGCGCAUAAAAAGCCAAAAAUCAAACUUUUCGACAUGGGCGGCGGUGUCUCUGAUGUUCUGUGGGCCGUGUGGGCCUUUUGGGCCUGCAGUUGCUUUGUUAGUUUUUCUCGUUGUUUUUCGCUCGUUUUCCCCAAAAAAAAAUUGAUGGAUUACCUUUGCCCCCGUUCCCGACGUUGGUCUGGCGAUAAGUUUCCUUAGCUUCUGGUUUGCCACCGCUGAUGAUGAUGUUUCUUUGUUGAUUUAUUAAUUAAUUAUGUGCGAAGGGAAACUGCGUCAUUGCCGACCCCAACUCCCGGACAUUGGAG
rnacentral:lncRNA from 1 species